UCUCUCUUUAAAGAAUGACUCUUAAGUGGCUACUGAGGCACAUGUACAUCACUAGGUGGCAGAGAGGAGAAAGGCUCCAUCUAUGCUCAGUGUUCUGACCUAGGAACAUCUGAAUAAUUAGUAGCCUGAAAAG